rnacentral:rRNA from 1 species
GAUGAACGCUGGCGGCGUGCCUAAUACAUGCAAGUCGAGCGAACGGACGAGAAGCUUGCUUCUCUGAUGUUAGCGGCGGGCGGGUGAGUAACACGUGGAUAACCUACCUAUAAGACUGGGAUAACUUCGGGAAACCGGAGCUAAUACCGGAUAAUAUUUUGAACCGCAUGGUUCAAAAGUGAAAGACGGUCUUGCUGUCACUUAUAGAUGGAUCCGCGCUGCAUUAGCUAGUUGGUAAGGUAACGGCUUACCAAGGCAACGAUGCAUAGCCGACCUGAGAGGGUGAUCAGCCACACUGGAACUGAGACACGGUCCAGACUCCUACGGGAGGCAGCAGUAGGGAAUCUUCCGCAAUGGGCGAAAGCCUGACGGAGCAACGCCGCGUGAGUGAUGAAGGUCUUCGGAUCGUAAAACUCUGUUAUUAGGGAAGAACAUAUGUGUAAGUAACUGUGCACAUCUUGACGGUACCUAAUCAGAAAGCCACGGCUAACUACGUG